UGCUAAUUUGUUGAGGUGGCUAAGCGGGAGAUGCUCACUUCUUGGUGUAAGUGAAUGUUACGUGCCUUUAUCUUACACACUCCCUAUUUUUUUGGGGUUCCGUUGUGCCUAGGGAGAGGACUCCUUACUUUUGAAAGAUUUUUUCUUAGAAAAGUAUUUUCUUCUUCGAAAGGGAGGUCGCCCACUUCUUCUUCUGACGGGGGAUUCUACCUCAAUUUUGGCCAUUGGAGUGGUAGAGGCCUGUUUUUGUUCUAUCAUUUGCACAACGUUUGUGACAUGCUGGCAGUAGGUUGGGAAUGCCUGGUCUCACUGGAGUCGUUCCUCUUUUGAAAAAUU
rnacentral:lncRNA from 1 species